AGAAUCAACGCUGGCGGCGUGCCUCAGACAUGCAAGUCGAACGAUUAAGACUUCCUUCGGGAAGUGUAUAGAGUGGCGCACGGGUGAGUAACACGUAGGUUAUCUACCUCCGAGUGGGGAAUAACAGUCGGAAACGACUGCUAAUACCGCAUAAUACCGAAAGGUCAAAGCUUUAGUGCUUGGAGAGGAGCCUGCGGCAGAUUAGCUAGUUGGCGAGGUAAUGGCUCACCAAGGCGACGAUCUGUAUCCGGUCUAAGAGGACGGUCGGACACACUGACACUGAAUAACGGGUCAGACUCCUACGGGAGGCAGCAGUCGGGAAUUUUGGGCAAUGGGCGAAAGCCUGACCCAGCAACGCCGCGUGAAGGAUGAAGUCUUUCGGGAUGUAAACUUCGAAAGAAUAGGAAGAAUAAAUGACGGUACUAUUUUAAGCCCGGUCUAACUCCGUGCCAGCAGCCGC
rnacentral:rRNA from 1 species